GACGAACGCUGGCGGCGUGCUUAACACAUGCAAGUCGAACGGUAAGGCCCUUCGGGGUACACGAGUGGCGAACGGGUGAGUAACACGUGGGUGAUUUGCCCUGCACUUCGGGAUAAGCCUGGGAAACUGGGUCUAAUACCGGAUAGGACACUGCCUGCAUGGGUGGUGGUGGAAAGCUUUUGCGGUGUGGGAUGGGCCCGCGUCUGAUUAGCUAGUUGGUGAGGUAAUGGCUCGCCAAGGCGACGAUCAGUAGCUGGUCUGAGAGGAUGAUCAGCCACACUGGGACUGAGACACGGCCCAGACUCCUACGGGAGGCAGCAGUGGGGAAUAUUGGACAAUGGGGGCAACCCUGAUCCAGCCAUGCCGCGUGAGUGAUGAAGGCCUUAGGGUUGUAAAGCUCUUUUACCCGGGACGAUAAUGACUGUACCGGGAGAAUAAGCCCCGGCUAACUUCGUGCCAGCAGCCGCAGUAA
rnacentral:rRNA from 1 species